UACGUAGGGAGCCAGCGUUGUCCGGAUUUACUGGGCGUAAAGAGCGCGUAGGCGGUUUUGUAAGCGGAGGGUGAAAUCCCGGGGCUCAACUCCGGGGCUGCUUUCCGAACUGCAAGACUAGAGUACGGGAGAGGAUAGUGGAAUUCCUGGUGUAGCGGUGGAAUGCGUAAAUAUCAGGAGGAACACCCGUGGCGAAGGCUGCUAUCUGGAACGUUACUGACGCUGAGGCGCGAAAGCUAGGGGAGCGAACGGG
rnacentral:rRNA from 1 species